rnacentral:rRNA from 1 species
GACAGAGGGUGCAAACGUUGUUCGGAAUUACUGGGCGUAAAGUGUGCGCAGGCGGCCGAGCAAGUCGAGUGUGAAAGCCCCGAGCUUAACUUGGGAACUGCGCUCGAAACUACUUGGCUAGAGUGUGGCAGAGGGAGGUGGAAUUCCACGUGUAGCGGUGAAAUGCGUAGAGAUGCGGAGGAACACCGAUGGCGAAGGCAGCCCCCUGGGCCAACACUGACGCUCAGGCACGAAAGCGUGGGGAGCGAUCCGG